rnacentral:misc_RNA from 1 species
CUAUAGAAUAGGCAUAGAAUUCGUGAGUUUUCUGAAUGAUGACAUUCUAAAUUAUUUUAUUAUUUGAAUAAGCUAAAUUCCAAUAUGGAUGUCUUGAGAAUGGUGUUUUGUAUAUACUGGACCUGUGCAUUUCUAAAUUUAUGUCCAAUGUAUGGAAUGCAAAAAAAAAUAUAAACCUUGCAAAGUUACCCACAAAUUUCUAAAGAUCCUAAGUAAAGCGGAUCAGGGCAAAUUAGUACCGAAAACAGCCAAUGAUACAGCCAACCAACAUUUGGAUAAAUGCCUUCAUCCUGGCUACAAACUAACUGAUACUCUAAAUUUUACCAUAUGCUCUGGUAGCUCAGAUGGCAUGUGUCACACAAUUGCUCCAAAAACUAGUGACGAAUAUGUUAUAUCACUUUAUUGCAAAAGGUGCUUCAGGCACUGCGAUUGUCCAGAACUAAACAAGGGAAAUGCUCUCAGAGAAGAGGCUAUAAUUGUAACACUAUGCCUGGCAGCGUAUUACUUUUUGAGAAACUAUAAUUUACUGGCGUAGUUACGGAUUAGACUUAGAGACAAUGUUAUUUUGAUAUAUUAUAUUUGUAAGAUUCUAAUUUUAAGUAAUUUU